ACCCGGCUAGCUCAAUCGGUAGAGCAUGAGACUCAUAAUCUCAGGGUCAUGGGUUCCAGUCCCACAUUGGGUG